GGAGUCUCCUUUCACCCAGGCUAGAGUGCAGUGGCGCAAUCUCGGUUCACUGCAACCUCCGCCUCCCAGGUUUGCCCAAUUAAAGCAAUUCUCCUGCCUUAGCCUCUCGAGUAGCUGGGAUUACAGACGUGCGCUACCACGGCUGGCUAAUUUUGUUUUGUAUUUUUAGUAGAGACGGGGUUUUAUAAUGUUGGCCAGGUUGGUCUCAAGCUCCUGACCUCAAGCGAUCCACCUGCCUAGCCUCCCAAAGUGCCGGGAUUACAGGAGUGAGCCACUGCGCCUGGCCAGGUUUUAUUUUUAAUUUUUAAUUUUUGGAAGCACAGAGCAUACAGAUUCACUUACACAAGCAACAUUUUUUCCUGGAAGUUAAGAAAAGGAGACAACAAACGUAGUUUAGGAAGUGCUGGAUUUGGAGGGAAUUGUUCCUGCCUGGAGGUGAGGGAACCAUCAAUGGCCUUGUCUGAGAUGCACGCCUUGGUGCACAACAAACUCCUCUGCCAUCGCUUAGUCCUUCAAAGCUGACAGUGCUUUUAGAGUCAUGCAGACACCUGAUGGAAGAGUCUUCCAGGCAGAAGGAAGGACAAAUACCCUUGAUAUACAUGUACUUGGCCGGCAUGAGGAAGAGCAAUGUGGAAGGAUACAGAUAGUUGGGAACAUAUAGUGCCUGUGAAUGACCAGUAUGCUCACUCCAAUAACAUCAGGCAAGCAAUUCCACAUAAUACUGAAGAAGUAAUUAAUUCACCUGCAACAUGAUCGGCGAUGAAUCCUGGACUCGAAUCUUAAGAACCUAAGAAGAUGUGUGCUGGGGCAGACUGAAUCGUGGAAUUGCUUGCCCAGUUGGACUUCGGAUUUAUGACAGUGCUUUUUGGACUUUAAUGUAGAUAUAAAUCACCUGGGGAUCUGUUUAAAAUGUAGUUUCCUGGCCCAGCAGGGCUGUGAAGGGGCCUGAGAGUCUGCAUUUCUCACAAGCUCCCAGGUGCUGCUGAUACUGCUGGUCUGAUUGGGCCCAGAGGACAUUUUAUAAAUGACCUAUCUUCUUGCAAACUAAUGUUGCAGCUUCUUCUGGCACAGGGAGAGUUAGUGUGUGGCACUACUUCUUUGUUGUAUUUGUAUUCAUGCCUGGAUCAGAGGUCCUAGCCAAUAGUUCUCAGUUCUGGGCGCACAUCUGAAUCACCUGUAGGUGCUCUAAAGAAACAGCACUUGCCUGGGCUUGGCUCUCUGAAAGUUGGGUUUAAUGAACCACGGCCGUAGGCAAUGAAGUAAAACAGGUGCAGAAAUUGCUGUUCUAUUCUACACAGCGGAUCUAUGACAAGUGUGAAAUUUAUCAUCUAAAUGAUAAGAUGAUAAAAUGCAUGUGAAGAAGGACUUAACAUUAAAAUGAUUAAAAGAAAAAAAGCAAAUCUUGAUGUU
rnacentral:lncRNA from 10 species